GUUCACCCAAAAAAAAGGGAAGAUCUGAUUUUUACCAGUAAUAAGACUACAGCAUACUAAAUGACACAAGAUGUUCUUUCUCUAUUACCUCUUACAUUUGACAUAAAAGCAGGAAAAGAUAUAACAGUCUAUGCCUACAACAUGGAUCUCCAGGACUAAAACUGAAAAAAUUUGCAAUCAGUAUAUCACAAGGGUUUUAAUACAAGCAUCUAAUCUGCUUUAGUGGCCAGAAGUGGGUGAAUCCUCUCAAACUUGAAUCAGGAACUAGGCAUACCUAAUGAGCGUCAAGCUGAUACACUAGAUCGAGGUCUCCAAACUUUUCAGUCCGAGGGCCGCAUUAACUAUCAAAUUUCAGUUCGGGGGCCAGUUUCUUCCAGGCAUUGAAAAGUGAUGUGAAAGGCAACUAAUACUUCCAUCUACCAUAGUUAAACAAGAAUCUGCAAAUGGCGAUAAUUGCAAUAAUCCUGAUAUAUUCAUUUUUGGCUUUAUUGUCAGGUUUGAUAAAUAAAUUA